rnacentral:rRNA from 1 species
CGCGCAGGCGGUCUUGUCCGUCAGGUGUGAAAGCUCGGGGCUCAACCCCGGAAGUGCACUUGAAACAGCAAGACUUGAAUACGGGAGAGGAGAGAGGAAUUCCUGGUGUAGAGGUGAAAUUCGUAGAUAUCAGGAGGAACACCGAUGGCGAAGGCAUCCCUCUGGACCGAUAUUGACGCUGAGGCGCGAAGGCGUGGGUAGCGAACAGGAUUAGAUACCCUGGUAGUCC